rnacentral:snRNA from 1 species
GCGCUGGCUUCGGCAGCACAAACACUACAGCUGGAAUGAUGAGCACGGCCUCCGUGCAAGGAUGAAACACAAGCUCAUGAAGCAUCCCCUAUUUUG